rnacentral:rRNA from 1 species
CCGACGGUGAGAGAUGAAAGCUGGGGGAGCAAACCGGAUUAGAUACCCGGGUAGUCCCAGCCGUAAACGAUGUGCGUUAGGUGUAUCGGUGACCACGAGUCACCGAGGUGCCGAAGAGAAAUCGUGAAACGUACCGCCUGGGAAGUACGGUCGCAAGGCUGAAACUUAAAGGAAUUGGCGGGGGAGCACCACAACAGGUGGAGCCUGCGGUUUAAUCGGACUCAACGCCGGGAAACUCACCAGAUAAGACAGCUGAAUGAUAGUCGGGCUGAAGACUCUACUUGACUAGCUGAGAGGAGGUGCGUGGCCGUCGUCAGUUCGUACUGUGAAGCAUCCUGUUAAGUC